ensembl:snRNA U6 U6 spliceosomal RNA
UGCUCGCUUCGGCAGCAACACAGUAAUAUUGGAAUGGUACAGAAAAGAUUAGCACAGCUCCUGUGCAAGGAUGACAUGGGAAUUCGUGAGGCAUUCCAUUAAAAA